rnacentral:rRNA from 1 species
CGCUGCGGGAGGCCUACACAUGCAAGCCGAGCGGUAUUUGGUAGCUUGCUAUCAGAGAGAGCGGCGUACGGGUGCGGAACACGUGUGCAACCUGCCCUUAUCAAGGGGAUAGCCCGGAGAAAUUCGGAUUAAUACCCUAUAAUACAAGUUGUGGCAUCACGAUUUGUUAAAAACUACGGUGGAUAAGGAUGGGCACGCGCAAGAUUAGCUAGUUGGUGAGGUAACGGCUCACCAAGGCGACGAUCUUUAGGGGGCCUGAGAGGGUGAUCCCCCACACUGGGACUGAGACACGGCCCAGACUCCUACGGGAGGCAGCAGUGAGGAAUAUUGGACAAUGGGUGGAAGCCUGAUCCAGCCAUCCCGCGUGAAGGACGACUGCCCUAUGGGUUGUAAACUUCUUUUAUAUGGGGAUAAACCUACCCUCGUGAGGGUAGCUGAAGGUACCAUAUGAAUAAGCACCGGCUAACUCCGUGCCAGCAGCCGCGGUAAU